CGCACUCGUGGCACGCGUGUACUUCGCGCACUAUAGAAAGCGACGAGCACACACACACACACACACACAGGGAGUCGACUGCGCAUACCCACAUGCCAAGCACUCUCUUCGCUUCCUCCUGGUCUUCGACGCAAGCAGGCUGACGCAGACGCCUUUAGCAUGCACUCUGAUAGAAGUAGAUCACGAUAGAUUCUCUGGUCACCAUCAGCACAGUGUCCUCCUCCUUCCUCGGACUUCAUCCAUGUCAGGGGCCUCGUCGCCACGACUUCCGUCGGAAGUGGAGUCGAUCUCACGAUCCUACUCGCCACCGCCGCCACCGAGUGUGCCGAACACCACACGGCGUUCACGCUCACAAGGGGGUAGCACAGCUCCAGAGGAUCUGCCAGGCCUGCACAGCUGCGGAGAUGCUAGUGGGGAGGCGAGUGUCUUACAGUGCGGCAGAGCCCAGCGGAGCGAACCGCUAUCCGCUCGGGCCUUCGAGUCGCACCACUCACGCUCACUUGGCGCCGCGCUCUCGCCUAUCUCCCCGCAGCGCACGAGCCGCCCUCUCAGCGGCGGCGGUCGCCAGAGUGCAACCGCCGCCGCUGCCACCCGUUCCCCAUCUUCGCUGAUCCACUCGACGCCGCGUCGACGUAUGGGCAAUAGCCGCAGCUGCAGCCCCACGCUCGCGAUUGCCGAAGCCGAAGCAGUCCGCGCCGCCCGCGAGUUCUCGAUGGACAUGUACCGGGAACUGCAUCAGAGAAAGUUCAAGUCCGUCAAUGAAGAGCUUGACUUCUUGCGAAAAGACUUCGUGGCCUCUCGCAAAACGCUUGCCCUGCUUCACGAGGACAAAGUCCGCCUCGAGCGGGAGCUCAUGGCGCGGGUUGUCGAGAUGAACGAACUGCAGGGGAAGCUGGAAGACGCGCAGAGGGAGGCCGAGCAGCAAACACCGAGCCCGUGCUGGCGGGUCUGCAGCAGCGGGGGCCGUGGUCAGAUAUGCAGCGGCAGCGGUUGUGAGAAACAGGACCUCGAUGGCUUCGGACGAUGCGAGGCGUGCGGAGCGUCACGCACAUGGGCCGACGCGGGCGACACGGCGCAGGUGCGUGUGGACACCGCAGCCGAAGGUGGGGAAGGAGAUGGGCAGCGGCCGUGCGGAGGCGCGGAGAAGAAGAAUACAUCAGCAGCGAAGGCGCCUUCACCUGUGUCCACGCUGCGCGCCGGUCUCUCUCUUUACGCGGCGAGCGGACAGCGGAGAAGAGGCGCAGCCGCCUCCAGCGGCACGUCAGCGCGAGGCCCCGACGGCGCCGAUCUUCAGCAGCUCAUUCGCGAUCUUCGUGCCAACCUGGCGCGCCGUGACACCGCUCUGAACGAGGCACAGAUGGAGCUUGGCUCUCUGCAGCACAUCCGCCAAACGCUUGAGGCGGAGCUCCGUCGACUACAGGGCAGCCUUUCGGACGUAAAAGCACAGCGAGAUGCGCUGCAGGCGCGACUGACAGCGCAGGAGGAGCUGCACACCGCAAAGGUCGCGCAAGUUAGCGGUCUCGAAGAACAGGUGCAGCAGCUGACGAAAGAAAAGGACGCUGUGCAGAGUCGACUGACAACGGCCCAGCUGCUAUACGAGCACACCGGGCCCAUGAGUGACGGCGGAUCGCCUGCAUCCCCCACUGGAGUUGGUGGCGGCCGUGUGCACGCGCACGAGGAGGCGCUGCGAGAGCAGCUGCAGCUGUACCGGUCGAAGUGGCAGGCCGCAGAAGACCAGAUGGAGCACCUGCACGAGCGAAUCUCCCAGCUGCAGCGUCAGCUCGUCGCUGGCGGUGCAGACGACGGGGCUACGGUGAGGCCUCUGAAGCCGGUGGCGAGCGAGCUGUGUGAGGCCGACGAGGCUGUUGUCCAGAAAGCAAAGUACAUUGCCGAUAUGGCGGCGCUUCGCCGGCAGCACCAGGAGCAGGUACAGCUGCACAUCGAAGAGGAGCAGCGACUGCAGCGGCGACUUGAGCGAGCGCAGGAGAACGCUGCCUUCCAUGAGGACCAACUGCGUCAACAGCGACAGGAGGAUGCGCGCCAGCAUCACAGUGAGGUACAGGCGCUACAGGCACAGCUCCGCACGGCGCAAGGCGAACUUGUGAAAGCCCAAGAGGACCGCGAGCAUCUCGCGCGGCAGCUGCGUCGUUCCACUGAGCAGCAAACCACUGUUGAAGUACUGCGCAGCCAAGUCGAUCAGCUGAAGCAGCGACUCGGUGAAGUGGGGGCAGAGCUGGCGCAGGUGCGCGGGAGAGAGAAGGAGCUGUCCUUGCAGACCCAGCGCGAGCGUCUAGAGCGCGCCAAGGUCGAGCACGGCCUGGAGGCAGCGCAAGAGAUGCUGGAGCGUGAGAAGACGGAGGCCCAGUACCUGCGCGAGGAACUGAUAAUAACUCGCGAGCAGCUCGGCAUGCACGAGGCCGUGGAUGCGUCAAUAACAGGCACGGGGCCAGCACGCUCGACCCUCUCCGUCACAUGCGCACCCAGCGCCACCGACGCAGAGGGCGACGCGGCGACGCUCUCCUCGGAGCUGAAGGGCUACGUUGGCCUCAUGCGCGUGAACGCGGCCUUGCAGCGGCGCAUCGAGGAGCUGGAAGCGCAAGCGCCGACUCGCCAUGGAAGCGACAUAGGCAGAUGUGGCAGCAAAACCAGCGACGAAAGGGGCACGCAGCAGGCACAGCUGACGGAUUCGGCGCGUGAGGGAUCCGCAUUGCCGAAGGCGUCACCCGACGACGCCUCCCCGCCCUCGGCACUGGAGCAGCAGCAGGCGGCGCACCUUCAGGCAGAGCUUACUUCGGCCCUGCAGAGUCAGCAAGCCCUCAUGGCAAGCAUCGCAGAGGCGGAAAAAGAGCGACAUCAGCUCAUCAAAGACAACCAGACGCUCGCUGACGGCGUCGAACUGCUCGAGAAGCAGCUGCGCAAGUAUCAAGCAAAGUUGGCGUGCAGGGCGAUCGCGGUCGACACCAGGGUCACCCGUGCUGAGGCGCCGCCGUCCGCUCCCUCGGCAGAUGUGAAGCCGCGCACACACGCCGAUGUGGUCGAGGCGGAAGAGUCGCAGAGGCGCUGCUGCCGAUGCGACUGCGCACAACAGUGGGACAGCCGCGUGCGCAGUCGCCUGCAGACGGCCCGCGCUCGAGAUCACGAUGUACACGUACGGCAAAGCGCGGACGGGACGCUGCGACAACCGCAGCUGCCGCAAGCGAAUGAGAGCGAGGCAGCAAAGCCGAGCCUGCGCCCGGUGUGCAGCAGCUGUCGAGGCUGCUCCGGCCGCCCUGCUGCGUCCGCGCGCACCAAACGCUCAGCAUUAGCUGCGUCCUUUGACUCCGCUCGUGGUAUCGCCGUGACCGGGGCGGCGGAUCGCAGUGGUUUUGCGCGCUGCCACUCCCCACCGUGCGCGGUGGGGAAGGUCGCCGAGCUUGGCCCAGUGCCCCUGUCGUGGCUUCAGUCUCCAUUUCCCUCAUCUCCUUCGGCGCCGUCUUCUCCUUCCCUCUCGCCUUCGCAGCCAUCACCGUGUGAGACUCACGGCAAGGACACCGGGCCCCCGGCUGCGACGCAAAUCACCCACGACAGUGCGGAAAGGCAUCAGGGGCGAAUCUUUCCUCCAACGCCUCACCACCGCCGGCGCGUGCACGGAAGCAUCUUACCGCCGGUCUACUACCCCCCUCUCGUGGCACGCAGCCGUGACUAACUCGUCUUCAGGACACCCGCCACCGCCAUGACUGCCCUGCUCAUCCCGGCACCCAGUCUUUACCCGCCCGCUAUUCUCACUGAGCUUGCGGAGCUCGGGUAUGUGACUGUGUCCGUGGCGUUUCUCGCUCACCUUCUCUUGACAGCUCCGUCUACGGACAUGCGCGAUGCAUAGCCUCGUCACAUCCGCGCAUGGGGUGUACGAGUAGGGGGAGGGGGUAGGGGAGUGUGUUCAAUGAGCGUCCUCGCCACCAUCGCAGCGCAGCACGGAGCCUCUUGCUAUGCGCUCUCCCCCUGCCAGGGUGCGCUUUGCCCGCGAGAUCGAGCGAGUGCGGCGCAGCAGUGGGAAGAGCGCAUGCGCGGUGUACCUGCAGAGAGACAGACGUAAUCAUCGACAACGUCGCCUCGCUGCUGUCAAGCAUCGGAGGAAGACGGGGGGAUGCUGGUCAAAAGGCGGAGUCGCAUGCGCCUCUGUUUCAAGCCUUGUUUUGUUUGCGAGCGAAGCUCCGCCAUACACCCCCCC
rnacentral:misc_RNA from 1 species